rnacentral:tRNA from 1 species
UGGCUCAAUGGUUAAGCAUUUGGCUGCUAACCAAAAUGUCAGCAGUUAGAAUCUGCU